AUGAAGCUAAUGAUUCCUCCCUUAAGGAUUGCCUCUCAAGGCUUUGUUUUAAGUAAUGCCACUUACUGUUGCACUUUCAACACUUGCUAUCCAUAUCUGAUAAGGGAAACCAAGACGAAAAAAUUAAAUUUCCUUACUACUUACAGCCCAUUGUUAAGUCCUGAAACAGGCAGAGUGACAUUCCGCUGGGAACUCAGCUUCUCCGAUGUUAAGACUUUGCUAAAGGCAAGAGGCAAUCAACCUGAGGAUUCCACCCCCACCUCCUGCCCCAGGAUCCUGGUAGUGAUAUGCAGCAUGGCACUCUCUUAUGAUGCUGGCCAGCUACAGUGGGAUUCAGCUCCCAGUAUGUAUACAAUCAUUCUGCUUUUCACUUCCACUACAGUACUCAAUAAGUUACAUGAGAUCUUCAAUGCUUUAUUAUAAAGUAAGUAUAAAUUUUCUAUAAGAAAACAUAAGAGAAUAUCUUUGUUAUCUGGGUUAGGCAAAGGUUUCCUAGCUAGGACACCAAAGGCAUGAUCUGUNNNNNNNNNNNNNNNNNNNNNN
rnacentral:lncRNA from 1 species